CUGUCGGCGAGUGGCGAACGGGUGAGUAAUAUAUCGGAACGUACCCUGGAGUGGGGGAUAACGUAGCGAAAGUUACGCUAAUACCGCAUACGAUCUAAGGAUGAAAGCAGGGGACCGCAAGGCCUUGUGCUCCUGGAGCGGCCGAUAUCUGAUUAGCUAGUUGGUGGGGUAAAGGCCUACCAAGGCAUCGAUCAGUAGCUGGUCUGAGAGGACAACCAACCACACUGGAACUGAGACACGGUCCAAACACAAACGAGAGGCAGCAGUGGGGAAUUUUGGACAAUGGGCGCAAGCCUGAUCCAGCAAUGCCGCGUGAGUGAAGAAGGCCUUCGGGUUGUAAAGCUCUUUUGUCAGGGAAGAAACGGUGAAGGCUAAUAUCCUUUGCUAAUGACGGUACCUGAAGAAUAAGCACCGGCUAACUACGUGCCAGCAGCCGCGGUAAUACGUAGGGUGCAAGCGUUAAUCGGAAUUACUGGGCGUAAAGCGUGCGCAGGCGGUUUUGUAAGUCUGUCGUGAAAUCCCCGGGCUCAACCUGGGAAUUGCGAUGGAGACUGCAAGGCUAGAAUCUGGCAGAGGGGGGUAGAAUUCCACGUGUAGCAGUGAAAUGCGUAGAGAUGUGGAGGAACACCGAUGGCGAAGGCAGCCCCCUGGGUCAAGAUUGACGCUCAUGCACGAAAGCGUGGGGAGCAAACAGGAUUAGAUACCCUGGUAGUCCACGCCCUAAACGAUGUCUACUAGUUGUCGGGUUUUAAUUAACUUGGUAACGCAGCUAACGCGUGAAGUAGACCGCCUGGGGAGUACGGUCGCAAGAUUAAAACUCAAAGGAAUUGACGGGGACCCGCACAAGCGGUGGAUGAUGUGGAUUAAUUCGAUGCACGCGAAAAACCUUACCUACCCUUGACAUGUACGGAAGCCUUGAGAGAUCAGGGUGUGCUCGAAAGAGAGCCGUAACACAGGUGCUGCAUGGCUGUCGUCAGCUCGUGUCGUGAGAUGUUGGGUUAAGUCCCGCAACGAGCGCAACCCUUGUCAUUAGUUGCUACGAAAGAGCACUCUAAUGAGACUGCCGGUGACAAACCGGAGGAAGGUGGGGAUGACGUCAAGUCCUCAUGGCCCUUAUGGGUAGGGCUUCACACGUCAUACAAUGGUACAUACAGAGGGCCGCCAACCCGCGAGGGGGAGCUAAUCCCAGAAAGUGUAUCGUAGUCCGGAUUGUAGUCUGCAACUCGACUACAUGAAGUUGGAAUCGCUAGUAAUCGCGGAUCAGCAUGUCGCGGUGAAUACGUUCCCGGGUCUUGUACACACCGCCCGUCACACCAUGGGAGCGGGUUUUACCAGAAGUAGGUAGCUUAACCGCAAGGGGGG
rnacentral:rRNA from 1 species